AUGACUACUAUCCUAGAUACGUCAUGGUAUGGAAUUCUUUGGACUACAAGAUCAAACCAAAUAGUAGAACAUGGUCUCAUAAAUAAUUUUCUACAAAUUGGAAUUCAUUUAGCAACCGAUUUUUAUCUUCCGUUUAAACACAUUUUCAUAAUUCUUCUAGUUUUUUAA
rnacentral:rRNA from 1 species